UCUAGGUUGCCCAUCAUGCAGCCUGUGGU
rnacentral:sRNA from 1 species